rnacentral:rRNA from 1 species
AUGCACGCUGGCGGCGUGCCUAAUACAUGCCAGUCGAGCGAACAGACGAGGAGCUUGCUCCUCUGACGUUAGCGGCGGCCGGGUGAGUAACACGUGGAUAACCUACCUAUAAGACUGGGAUAACUUCGGGAAACCGGAGCUAAUACCGGAUAAUAUAUUGAACCGCAUGGUUCAAUAGUGAAAGACGGUUUUGCUGUCACUUAUAGAUGGAUCCGCGCCGCAUUAGCUAGUUGGUAAGGUAACGGCUUACCAAGGCAACGAUGCGUAGCCGACCUGAGAGGGUGAUCGGCCACACUGGAACUGAGACACGGUCCAGACUCCUACGGGAGGCAGCAGUAGGGAAUCUUCCGCAAAGGGCGAAAGCCUGACGGAGCAACGCCGCGUGAGUGAUGAAGGUCUUCGGAUCGUAAAACUCUGUUAUUAGGGAAGAACAAAUGUGUAAGUAACUAUGCACGUCUUGACGGUACCUAAUCAGAAAGCCACGGCUAACUACGUG